GGUUGACCUCGGAUCAGGUAGGAGUUACCCGCUGAACUUAAGCAUAUCAAUAAGCGGAGGAAAAGAAACCAACCGGGAUUGCCUCAGUAACGGCGAGUGAAGCGGCAAGAGCUCAAAUUUGAAAUCUGGCCCUUCAGGGUCCGAGUUGUAAUUUGCAGAGGAUGCUUCGGGUGCGGUCCCCAUCUAAGUGCCCUGGAA
rnacentral:rRNA from 1 species